rnacentral:rRNA from 1 species
GGAUUCCCCUAGUAACUGCGAGUGAAGCGGGAAAAGCUCAAAUUUAAAAUCUGGCGGUUUUGGCCGUCCGAGUUGUAGUCUGGAGAAGUGUUUUCCGCGCUGGACCGUGUACAAGUCUCUUGGAACAGAGCGUCAUAGAGGGUGAGAAUCCCGUCUCUGACACGGACUACCAGUGCUUUGUGAUGCGCUCUCGAAGAGUCGAGUUGUUUGGGAAUGCAGCUCAAAAUGGGUGGUAAAUUCCAUCUAAAGCUAAAUAUUGGCGAGAGACCGAUAGCGAACAAGUACCGUGAGGGAAAGAUGAAAAGCACUUUGGAAAGAGAGUUAAACAGUACGUGAAAUUGCUGAAAGGGAAACGCUUGAAGUCAGUCGCGUCGUUUGGAACUCAGCCUUGCUUUUGCUUGGUGCACUUUCUGAACGACGGGCCAGCAUCGAUUUCUAUUGUCGGAAAAGGGUUGGAGGAAUGUGGCACCUUCGGGUGUGUUAUAGCCUUCAGUCACAUACCGCGGUUGGGAUCGAGGACCGCAGCGCGCCGCAAGGCAGGGGUUUCGCCCACUUUCGCGCUUAGGAUGCUGGCGUAAUGGCUUUAAACGACCCGUCUUGAAACACGGACCAAGGAGUCUAACAUGCCUGCGAGUGUUUGGGUGGAAAACCCGAGCGCGUAAUGAAAGUGAAAG